UUGAACGCUGGCGGCAGGCCUAACACAUGCAAGUCGAGCGGAUGAAGGGAGCUUGCUCCUGGAUUCAGCGGCGGACGGGUGAGUAAUGCCUAGGAAUCUGCCUGGUAGUGGGGGAUAACGUCCGGGAACGGGCGCUAAUACCGCAUACGUCCUGAGGGAGAAAGUGGGGGAUCUUCGGACCUCACGCUAUCAGAUGAGCCUAGGUCGGAUUAGCUAGUUGGUGGGGUAAGGGCCUACCAAGGCGACGAUCCGUAACUGGUCUGAGAGGAUGAUCAGUCACACUGGAACUGAGACACGGUCCAGACUCCUACGGGAGGCAGCAGUGGGGAAUAUUGGACAAUGGGCGAAAGCCUGAUCCAGCCAUGCCGCGUGUGUGAAGAAGGUCUUCGGAUUGUAAAGCACUUUAAGUUGGGAGGAAGGGCAGUAAGUUAAUACCUUGCUGUUUUGACGUUACCAACAGAAUAAGCACCGGCUAACUUCGUG
rnacentral:rRNA from 1 species